ACGGGUGAGUAAUGUCUGGGAAACUGCCCGAUGGAGGGGGAUAACUACUGGAAACGGUAGCUAAUACCGCAUAACGUCGCAAGACCAAAGAGGGGGACCUUCGGGCCUCUUGCCAUCGGAUGUGCCCAGAUGGGAUUAGCUAGUAGGUGGGGUAACGGCUCACCUAGGCGACGAUCCCUAGCUGGUCUGAGAGGAUGACCAGCCACACUGGAACUGAGACACGGUCCAGACUCCUACGGGAGGCAGCAGUGGGGAAUAUUGCACAAUGGGCGCAAGCCUGAUGCAGCCAUGCCGCGUGUAUGAAGAAGGCCUUCGGGUUGUAAAGUACUUUCAGCGAGGAGGAAGGCGUUGUGGUUAAUAACCGCAACGAUUGACGUUACUCGCAGAAGAAGCACCGGCUAACUCCGUGCCAGCAGCCGCGGUAAUACGGAGGGUGCAAGCGUUAAUCGGAAUUACUGGGCGUAAAGCGCACGCAGGCGGUCUGUCAAGUCGGAUGUGAAAUCCCCGGGCUCAACCUGGGAACUGCAUCCGAAACUGGCAGGCUAGAGUCUUGUAGAGGGGGGUAGAAUUCCAGGUGUA
rnacentral:rRNA from 1 species